UACGGAGGGUGCUAGAGUUGUUCGGAAUUACUGGGCGUAAAGCGCACGUAGGCGACCGUUCAAGUCAGAGGUGAAAGCCCGGGGCUCAACCCCGGAAUAGCCUUUGAAACUAGAUGGCUUGAAUCUUGGAGAGGUCAGUGGAAUUCCGAGUGUAGAGGUGAAAUUCGUAGAUAUUCGGAAGAACACCAGUGGCGAAGGCGACUGACUGGACAAGUAUUGACGCUGAGGUGCGAAAGCGUGGGGAGCAAACAGG
rnacentral:rRNA from 1 species